CAGAUUUCAUCUGGGUGUGCACAUGACUGGGAUCCAACUCCUUAUGCCCCGCAGAUCCCAUUUAGAUACCUCUUACAUAACCAUCUCCAUCUUGGAUUUUAUUUUCUCCACACAGUGGAGAAACAAUUUCUAUAGAGACAGACCAGCAAAUUGGCUGCUGUAUCCCGUAGAAGGCCAAGAGGCUGUUAGUGGCAUUCUUUAAAGGAUGUUGUCGUAAUUUCUUUUUUAAUUGAGGUCAAGGCAAUAGAGCUUUGAGGCAGGUGCAAUUUAGGGAAGGCUGCUUUCCUUCUGGCCAUGGAAAUGAAGUCCUAAGAAGAGAGUUCCACUCCAGGUUUCUGCCAGCCUGGGAUUUCCAGCAUGGCUUCCCUCUCUGCAGCACCUUGCUAGCAACUUAAUUAUCUGGUGCUUGAAGACUGAAGGUGACAUGCUCUGGGGAAAGCAGGACAACGGAAGAUCCUGCUGACCCAGAAUAAAACAUGGCUAGAAAAGUGGAACACUAGAAAUGGGGAAAGACUAGAAGAUUACUGCAAAACUUGGAGUUACAGAUGUCAGGAGCCAGCAUCAAGGCAAUUGGAAUGAGAGUGAGGAAGAGGCAACCUGCAGGCAUUGAAAAUUGUAUGCCCAGCAGCACUGGACCUGGACCAUUGAGAGGCCAUGCGCCACGUUGUUGUGCUCCAGCAUUCUUCUAUAACCACAGACACCAAGCCACAGUCUUGAGUACGUGAUGUGUACCCAGCAUCUCUUGGUUGUACUUACUGGAGAACUUGUUGACUUGAAGGCCAAAGGAAAGUGAGCCCAGGCCACCAAACACAUCUUUCCCUCUUCUCCAGGGCCAGACACCUCCAAGAGUAAGUGUGCCCAGGCAGGGCCUAUUGGUCAGGUCCAGAAGAUGAUAUGGUCUGGGCUAUAAGGCCAGGUUGUGUAGGUUACUGAAUUGUGAUUGGCAUGCCUUUGUCCCAAUUUGCUUUUCCCCAUGGGUUUAAAUUACUUGAACAACCUAUUUGCUUUCCUCUAAAAUUAAAAUGUAACUUUUUUGCAGUCAGCGUUACAGUGAGUUGCUAAAUCCAUCCUUGUCAUCCAUUGUAAAUUCAGCUCAACUUCUCGAUUUUAUUGAGAGCCCACUAUGUGCCAUUAGAGAUAGUUCCUGCCUUUGCAUUUGCAGUCUAGCAGAGACUGCAAGAUGGGCAUGUUAACAAGUAAGCAGAACAAAAUGUGAGUCCUGUAUGUAGCCCAUUCAUUGAAGAAACAUUUAUCAAGAGCCAUCAUUUCCUAGGUAAUAGACAUUGCAGAAAGUGUAGAGGCUGACCUAGAGUGGGAUGGAAACAUUUGGAAGCAAUUGCCUCUUUUCUGGAGGAUGGAUGUGUUCCAG
rnacentral:lncRNA from 10 species